rnacentral:rRNA from 1 species
UACAGAGGGUGCAAGCGUUGUUCGGAAUUAUUGGGCGUAAAGGGCGCGUAGGCGGUGCUGUAAGUCUGUAGUGAAAUCUCUGGGCUCAACUCAGAGUCUGCUAUAGAAACUGCAGUGCUGGAGUGUGGGAGAGGUGAGUGGAAUUCCCGGUGUAGCGGUGAAAUGCGUAAAUAUCAGGAGGAACACCUGUGGUGUAGACAGCUUACUGGACCACUUCUGACGCUGAGACACGAAAGCGUGGGUAGCAAACAGG